GAGCAGACGAUGGACCUUUGAAGACUUUAUACUAUAAACACACAACAUGGAAGCAAAAAAGGCCGAAACGAUCUGGUCUGCUUCGCUAAAUAUUUCAAAGGACGGCGGCUAAGAGUGAACGAGCCUUCACGGUGGGAUUGGAUGACAGUGCAGAGGCUGGAGAAUGCACAGGGCUGUUUAGCAGACUGAAGGCUGGCUGAAUGCAGUCGGAGAACAAUGUGAUCACCUGGAGAUGAAAGCAGAGCAAGAAGAAAACAGCCGGUGAGAGGAAGAUGACUGGAAGAAGACUGUAUUUUGCCACAUGGUCCUGAGAAAUAGGCUUUCAUGCUGGUCUGAGAUCAGCCCGACUCAGGAUGGCAGAUGGUGAUCUAGUUUCUUUACGAUGUCGUCACCAGAUGGGGAAGCUGCUCACAGGACAAACCCAACAAAGAUGAUUUAUGGGACAGGAGGAUGUUGUUUUAUGAAGUUAUUUAAAAAUACUUUUUCAAAUUUGCCAAAUAAAAGUUAAACUCUUGUUUUCUGAA